UCUUCCCUCUGGCGGCGUGCUUAACACAUGCAAGUCGAACGGAAAGGCCCAAGCUUGCUUGGGUACUCGAGUGGCGAACGGGUGAGUAACACGUGGGUGAUCUGCCCUGCACUUCGGGAUAAGCCUGGGAAACUGGGUCUAAUACCGGAUAGGACGAUGGUUUGGAUGCCAUUGUGGAAAGUUUUUUCGGUGUGGGAUGAGCUCGCGGCCUAUCAGCUUGUUGGUGGGGUAAUGGCCUACCAAGGCGUCGACGGGUAGCCGGCCUGAGAGGGUGUACGGCCACAUUGGGACUGAGAUACGGCCCAGACUCCUACGGGAGGCAGCAGUGGGGAAUAUUGCACAAUGGGCGCAAGCCUGAUGCAGCGACGCCGCGUGGGGGAUGACGGCCUUCGGGUUGUAAACUCCUUUCGCUAGGGACGAAGCGUUUUUGUGACGGUACCUGGAGAAGAAGCACCGGCUAACUACGUG
rnacentral:rRNA from 1 species